UUCGGCCCAAAAAGCAGAAAUAAUUGCUCUAACUCGGGCAUUAGAGCUAGCAAAAGGGAAGAGGAUAAACAUCUGGACGGACUCUAAAUAUGCGUUUGGUGUAGUACAUGCUCAUGGGGCCAUUUGGAAAGAGCGAGGACUACUGACUGCCCAAGGAAAACAAGUAAAACACGCUGAAGAAAUCCUAAGACUAUUAGAGGCUGUACAACAACCGGAGAGAGUGGCCAUUAUGCAUUGCCGAGGACAUCAGAAAGGAAAUACUGACUCGGAAAUUGGAAAUCGUCUGGCUGAUUAUGAAGCCAGGAGAGUGGCGAAAUCAGGAGAAAAGGUUUUAUCCUUAAUACCAGACGGUAAAAUCCAAACUACUUUUUCAGGACAACCCUUGGAGGAGAAGUGGGAAGGACCUUAUCAAGUCUUACUGACGACUUUCACUGCUAUCAGGAUCAAAGAACAGCCUGCCUGGAUCCACUAUUCGAGAGUGAAGAAAGCACCC